rnacentral:rRNA from 1 species
CCAACAGGGAUUGCCUUAGUAACGGCGAGUGAAGCGGCAAAAGCUCAAAUUUGAAAUCUAACGCCUCUGGUGUUCGAGUUGUAAUUUGGAGAGGCAUCUUCCGGAGUGGCCCAGCCUAUGUACCUUGGAACAGGACGUCAUAGAGGGUGAGAAUCCCGUUCUUGGCUGGAUGUUCACUCCCGUAUGUAGUGUCUUCUACGAGUCGAGUUGUUUGGGAAUGCAGCUCAAAAUGGGUGGUAAAUUUCAUCUAAAGCUAAAUAUUGGCGAGAGACCGAUAGCGCACAAGUAGAGUGAUCGAAAGAUGAAAAGCACUUUGAAAAUAGAGUCAAACAGUACGUGAAAUUGUUGAAAGGGAAGCGCUUGAGACCAGAGUCAGCCUUUGACAAACAAUUGUCCUUCUGGGCGGUGCACUUGUCAUUGGUUGGGCCAGCAUCGGUUGGGACGGUGGGAUAAAGGCUUGGGAAAUGUGACUCCUUUAUGGAGUGUUAUAGUCCCAGGUGCCAU